AAAACAUUUUUCCUCCCCAGUACAGGAGAUGAAAACGGACCCAUUUGAGCUAUAGAAAAAGUACCGCGAGGGAAAGCUGAAAGAGAGAUUAAAUAGACCAGUGAAGUCAAAUAAAGCAAAGAUUAGACCUUGUACCUUUUGCAUCAUGGGCUAGCCAGUAGUACCAGGCAAGAAGCACCACAGUCUGUUGCCCCGAAACUUGGUGAGCUACUCCGCGACAGCCUAUUAUAGGGCGAACCCGUCUCUGUGGCAAAAGAGUGGGAAGAUCGUUGAGUAGAAGUGACAAGCUUACCGAACCUAGUUAUAGCUGGUUGUCCAAGACAUGAAUAUAAGUUCAGCUCUCCGACUUUUUUGAUCCACCUGGCGUGCGCCAUUUGACCCAGAGAACACCAGGAGAAGUUACUCAAAAGGGGUACAGCCCGUUUGAGGAAAGAAACAACUUUUUCAUGGAGGUUAAGGAUUAUGAUUGAUCGGGGCUUCUGCCCUAGUGGGCCUAGGAGCAGCCACCUAUAUAGAAAGCGUCGAAGCUCGAGCAGCAUUUUCCCCAUUAUACCACUAAAUAAACCCGAAACCCCAAAUUUGUAUUGGACCACUCUACUUGAAGUAGAAAAGAUCCUGCUAGCAUGAGUAAUAAGAAGUCAUAAGGACUUCUCCCGGCACAAGUGUAUACCAGAACGGACAAACCGCUGAAAAUUAACGGACCCAACGCCAGAGGGUGAUGAAAACUACCUGAUAAACUGGAAAAGCAUUCAUACCCAACCCGUUUACCCUACACCGGAGUGCCCUAAGGAAAGACAAAAGGAAUAGAGAAGGAACUCGGCAAACUUCAGCCUCGCCUGUUUACCAAAAACAUCGCCUCUUGCAAACCAUUUAGAAUAAGAGGUCCAACCUGCCCAGUGACACUAUGUUCAACGGCCGCGGUAUUUUGACCGUGCUAAGGUAGCGCAAUCACUUGUCUUUUAAAUGAAGACCUGUAUGAAAGGACUAACGAGGGCUGAGCUGUCUCCUCUUUCCAGUCAAUGAAAUUGAUUUCCCCGUGCAGAAGCGGGGAUGUACACAUAAGACGAGAAGACCCUGUGGAGCUUAAGGCCCCAGCAAAGUCCAUGUUAAUGAACUCUUUAUGAAGACUACAAACUAAAUGAACACUAGUGCUGGGCCUUCGGUUGGGGUGACCAUGGGGUAGAAACAGCCCCCAGGCGGACAGGGAACACUGAAGGAAUUUAACCAUAAACACAUAACUCCACUCCUCAAAACAAGAGCCUCAACUCUAACUAACGAAAUUUUCGACUCAAAGUGAUCCGGGUGAUACCGAUCAACGAACCAAGUUACCCCAGGGAUAACAGCGCCAU
rnacentral:rRNA from 1 species